rnacentral:rRNA from 1 species
CAGUCGCCGCGGUAAUACGGAGGGUGCAAGCGUUAAUCGGAAUUACUGGGCGUAAAGCGCACGCAGGCGGUCUGACAAGUCAGAUGUGAAAUCCCCGGGCUUAACCUGGGAACUGCAUUUGAAACUGUCAGGCUGGAGUCUUGUAGAGGGGGGUGGAAUUCCAGGUGUAGCGGUGAAAUGCGUAGAGAUCUGGAGGAAUACCUGUGGCGAAGGCGGCCCCCUGGACAAAGACUGACGCUCAGGUGCGAAAGCGUGGGGAGCAAACAGGAUUAGAUACCCGCGUAGUCCCUGUCUCUUAUCA